AGCUUCAGCUUUCUCGGCAUCCGCUUUCCUUUUCUUCUCCUCGUGGUAGGGCUUGCUCGCUUCCUUGUUCUCUGCUGCCUUUCGAGCCUUUUCCUUUUUUGCCUUCAGCGCCGUUGCCUUCACC
rnacentral:SRP_RNA from 1 species